rnacentral:lncRNA from 1 species
UGUCCCUGCAGCUCCCCCGCCCCCUCAGGGAUUCAAACAAGAAUACCAUGACCCACUCUAUGAACAUGGGGUCCCGGGCAUGCCAGGGCCCCCAGCACACGGGUUCCAGUCACCAAUGGGAAUCAAGCAGGAGCCUCGGGAUUACUGCGUCGAUUCAGAAGUGCCUAACUGCCAGUCAUCCUACAUGAGAGGGGGUUAUUUCUCCAGCAGCCAUGAAGGUUGCUCGGCGCUGGGGCAUCCAGAAGAACCGGCCAGCCAUGAACUAUGACAAGCUGAGCCGCUCUCUCCGCUAUUACUAUGAAAAGGGCAUCAUGCAGAAGGUGGCUGGAGAGCGAUACGUCUACAAAUUUGUCUGUGACCCAGAUG